CAGCCGCCGCGGUAAUACAGAGGGUGCGAGCGUUAAUCGGAUUUACUGGGCGUAAAGCGUGCGUAGGCGGCUUCUUAAGUCGGAUGUGAAAUCCCUGAGCUUAACUUAGGAAUUGCAUUCGAUACUGGGAAGCUAGAGUAUGGGAGAGGAUGGUAGAAUUCCAGGUGUAGCGGUGAAAUGCGUAGAGAUCUGGAGGAAUACCGAUGGCGAAGGCAGCCAUCUGGCCUAAUACUGACGCUGAGGUACGAAAGCAUGUGGAGCAAACAGGAUUAGAUACUCCCGUAGUCCCUGUCUCUUAUAC
rnacentral:rRNA from 1 species